UACAGAGGGGGCAAGCGUUGUUCGGAAUUACUGGGCGUAAAGGGCGCGUAGGCGGCCUGUUAAGUCGAACGUGAAAUCCCCGGGCUCAACCCGGGAACUGCGUCCGAUACUGGCAGGCUUGAAUCCGGGAGAGGGAUGCGGAAUUCCAGGCGUAGCGGUGAAAUGCGUAGAUAUCUGGAGGAACACCGGUGGCGAAGGCGGCAUCCUGGACCGGCAUUGACGCCGAGGCGCGAAAGCCAGGGGAGCAAACGGG
rnacentral:rRNA from 1 species